UCCAGUACUGCGGAAUUCUCCAGCGUAC
rnacentral:sRNA from 1 species